UUAAGCGACCAAGCGUACACGGUGGAUGCCCUGGCAGUCAGAGGCGAUGAAGGACGUGCUAAUCUGCGAAAAGCGCCGGUAAGGUGAUAUGAACCGUUAUAACCGGCGAUGUCCGAAUGGGGAAACCCAGUGUGACUCGUCACACUAUCAUUAACUGAAUCCAUAGGUUAAUGAGGCGAACCGGGGGAACUGAAACAUCUAAGUACCCCGAGGAAAAGAAAUCAACCGAGAUUCCCCCAGUAGCGGCGAGCGAACGGGGAGGAGCCCAGAGCCUGAAUCAGCAUGUGUGUUAGUGGAAGCGUCUGGAAAGGCGCGCGAUACAGGGUGACAGCCCCGUACACAAAAGCGCAUGUGCUGUGAGCUCGAUGAGUAGGGCGGGACACGUGGUAUCCUGUCUGAAUAUGGGGGGACCAUCCUCCAAGGCUAAAUACUCCUGACUGACCGAUAGUGAACCAGUACCGUGAGGGAAAGGCGAAAAGAACCCCGGCGAGGGGAGUGAAACAGAACCUGAAACCGUGUACGUACAAGCAGUGGGAGCCCCACCACUAAGCCAGUGGUGAACUCCACAUACGCAUCCUUUGCGGAAGAUGCGGUUAACGGAGCGAAAGCGACGUUCAACCGCAAAAGAAGCAGAGGGGGCUUAGUGGUGGGGUGACUGCGUACCUUUUGUAUAAUGGGUCAGCGACUUAUAUUCUGUAGCAAGGUUAACCGUAUAGGGGAGCCGGAGGGAAACCGAGUCUUAAUUGGGCGUUAAGUUGCAGGGUAUAGACCCGAAACCCGGUGAUCUAGCCAUGGGCAGGUUGAAGGUUGGGUAACACUAACUGGAGGACCGAACCGACUAAUGUUGAAAAAUUAGCGGAUGACCUGUGGCUGGGGGUGAAAGGCCAAUCAAACCGGGAGAUAGCUGGUUCUCCCCGAAAGCUAUUUAGGUAGCGCCUCGUGAAUUCAUCUCCGGGGGUAGAGCACUGUUUCGGCCAGGGGGCCAUCCCGGCUUACCAACCCGAUGCAAACUGCGAAUACCGGAGAAUGUUAUCACGGGAGACACACGGCGGGUGCUAACGUCCGUCGUGAAGAGGGAAACAACCCAGACCGCCAGCUAAGGUCCCAAAGUCAUGGUUAAGUGGGAAACGAUGUGGGAAGGCCCAGACAGCCAGGAUGUUGGCUUAGAAGCAGCCAUCAUUUAAAGAAAGCGUAAUAGCUCACUGGUCGAGUCGGCCUGCGCGGAAGAUGUAACGGGGCUAAACCAUGCACCGAAGCUGCGGCAGCGACACUAAGUGUUGUUGGGUAGGGGAGCGUUCUGUAAGCCUGUGAAGGUGUGUCGUGAGGCAUGCUGGAGGUAUCAGAAGUGCGAAUGCUGACAUAAGUAACGAUAAUGCGGGUGAAAAACCCGCACGCCGGAAGACCAAGGGUUCCUGUCCAACGUUAAUCGGGGCAGGGUGAGUCGACCCCUAAGGCGAGGCCGAAAGGCGUAGUCGAUGGGAAACGGGUUAAUAUUCCCGUACCUGGUGUUACUGCGAAGGGGGGACGGAGAAGGCUAUGUUGGCCGGGCGACGGUUGUCCCGGUUUAAGCGUGUAGGCUGGUUUUCCAGGCAAAUCCGGAAAAUCAAGGCUGAGGCGUGACGACGAGGCACUACGGUGCUGAAGCAACAAAUGCCCUGCUUCCAGGAAAAGCCUCUAAGCCUCAGGUAACAUCAGAUCGUACCCGAAACCGACACAGGUGGUCAGGUAGAGAAUACCAAGGCGCUUGAGAGAACCCGGGUGAAGGAACUAGGCAAAAUGGUGCCGUAACUUCGGGAGAAGGCACGCUGACACGUAGGUGAAGCGGUUUACCCGUGGAGCUGAAGUCAGUCGAAGAUACCAGCUGGCUGCAACUGUUUAUUAAAAACACAGCACUGUGCAAACACGAAAGUGGACGUAUACGGUGUGACGCCUGCCCGGUGCCGGAAGGUUAAUUGAUGGGGUCAGCGCAAGCGAAGCUCCUGAUCGAAGCCCCGGUAAACGGCGGCCGUAACUAUAACGGUCCUAAGGUAGCGAAAUUCCUUGUCGGGUAAGUUCCGACCUGCACGAAUGGCGUAAUGAUGGCCAGGCUGUCUCCACCCGGGACUCAGUGAAAUUGAACUCGCUGUGAAGAUGCAGUGUACCCGCGGCAAGACGGAAAGACCCCGUGAACCUUUACUAUAGCUUGACACUGAACACUGGUCCUUGAUGUGCAGGAUAGGUGGGAGGCUUUGAAGUGUGGACGCCAGUCUGCAUGGAGCCGUCCUUGAAAUACCACCCUUUAAUGGCUGGUGUUCUAACGUAGACCCGUGAACCGGGUUGCGGACAGUGUCUGGUGGGUAGUUUGACUGGGGCGGUCUCCUCCUAAAGCGUAACGGAGGAGCACGAAGGUUGGCUAAUCCUGGUCGGACAUCAGGAGGUUAGUGCAAUGGCAUAAGCCAGCUUGACUGCGAGCGUGACGGCGCGAGCAGGUGCGAAAGCAGGUCAUAGUGAUCCGGUGGUUCUGAAUGGAAGGGCCAUCGCUCAACGGAUAAAAGGUACUCCGGGGAUAACAGGCUGAUACCGCCCAAGAGUUCAUAUCGACGGCGGUGUUUGGCACCUCGAUGUCGGCUCAUCACAUCCUGGGGCUGAAGUAGGUCCCAAGGGUAUGGCUGUUCGCCAUUUAAAGUGGUACGCGAGCUGGGUUUAGAACGUCGUGAGACAGUUCGGUCCCUAUCUGCCGUGGGCGCUGGAGAACUGAGGGGGGCUGCUCCUAGUACGAGAGGACCGGAGUGGACGCAUCACUGGUGUUCGGGUUGUCAUGCCAAUGGCACUGCCCGGUAGCUAAAUGCGGAAGAGAUAAGUGCUGAAAGCAUCUAAGCACGAAACUUGCCCCGAGAUGAGUUCUCCCUGAGACUACAAGUCUCCUGAAGGAACGUUGAAGACGACGACGUUGAUAGGCCGGGUGUGUAAGCGCAGCGAUGCGUUGAGCUAACCGGUACUAAUGAACCGUGAGGCUUAACCUU
rnacentral:rRNA from 1 species